AGAGAGAAAGGGGGGAAAAGAAAACAGAGAAACAGGUUUAUCGUCACUCUUCUCUUCAGCUGAAACUGUGGCAGGUCCUAAACUUUGAGAGGCAAAGGUACUUUGUAGGCUACUUCACUGCGUUUUGCUUUCAACAAAUCACGGGCACAGUUUACACGUGCGCUAAUGGUAAGCACUGUGCAAUUGUAUGGCCAUAUUAUAGAAUGGGUAUAUGUAUCUCCUAUAAUAACUGUGAGCCCUAAUCUGAAGCUAAUUGGAGCCUACUGCUAUUGCCAAAGGCGACGAUGGACAAUGGCCAAAUGUAAACCCUGUUAUUAUGUAGCCAAGGUCAUGGUGGAGAAAUGGGGAGCUAUGAUGACGAGGGAAAAAAAGCCUGCUUACCUUGUAUGUACUUUCGGUCAGUUUAUUCACAUCGUCAUGAUCCAGAGACAUGUUGGCAGUCAUUUCUCAGUCUCUGCAAGAUGGAACAAAAAAAAACUAAACCAAAGCCAAUCACUCGAAGUCUAUAUAAUUCCUUUCAAAUCCAAGGGUGGGCUGUUUAGUUGUUCCAGGAGUAGUUUACAAUUGAGAGCAGAAGCGCAACUGUGCACCAGUGGCCAAACAAACCGGCAUCAACCGCUGCGCUGCCUGAACGGAGACUGUCAAACUUCACCGUGUGUGUGUCGGAGGGGCUGGAGACAGAAAAGAAAUAUAAUUGUGGUGGUCUUCGUGUCACCUGCCCUGAUUCUGAGCCCCCGGGUUUUGGGGCUCACAACAAACGGUUUGAUCCAUCUGAAAAAUGUUUCGGGGAAGCUCAGCUUCAUUCAGAGGAAAUGCGACUUACGUGCGGGACAGGGAGAUGGCCUCGGAGGUUCCAACCGAGACAUAGUUCGAACUGUUCGAUCCAAGGAACACUUUACGCACCGCCAAAUUCAACUAUACCUGGGAGUUUGGCAACGGUACGUGGUUGUUUAUUCUGGUUUUGUAAGGGAGGUGCUGUAUGUGCACCAUAAAUACUUGUCCUCUGGAAACUACACUCUGCGGCUGAGAGUGGGGGCCCAAGUGAACAAAAGCUCUACUCCACUCCACUAACUGGGGUUUACACCAUGGACAUUGCAGUGCUGGGUAGGUUGGCAGAAUAUACAUAAUUUUUGUUAAGAAUGAUUUCGUUUGAAAUUGUAUUGCAUAUCUCUGCUAUUUUCCCGACCCCAUCAGAAAUAUUAAGUCGAAAGGCCCUUUGAGUUUCCAGGUUCCCAGAAACAACAGUCUGGGUAUUCAUGUCGAUGGAAGGUGGAUACAAUUUCUCAGUAGAAUUAACACUCAUACAACAUCAUAAACAUGCAUAACACAUCAAAGAAUCGACUCAUUUAUUCUCUCUCUUCCUCUCUUGGCUUCCCAGUCCUUCAAUGUGGGUGUGCUAUAUUCAUUCUCAUUAGCUUUAUCUCUCUCUCUCUCUCUCUCUCUCUCUCUCUCUCUCUCUCUCUCUCAAUUCAAUUCAAUUCAAGGGGCUUUAUUGGCAUGGGAAACGUGUUAACAUUGCCAAAGCAAGUAAGGUAUAUAAUAUAUAAAGUAAAAUAAACAAUAACAAUUAACAGUAGACAUCACACAUACAGAAGUUUCAAAACAAUAAAGACAUUACAAAUGUCGUAUUAUAUAUAUAUACAGUGUUUUUACAAUGUCUCUCUCUCUCUCUCUCUCUCUCUCUCUCUCUCUCUCUCUCUCUCUCUCUCUCUCUCUCUCUCACACACACACACACACACAUUCAGACUGAACGGCUUUAGGAGUCCACUGUCUUGACAUCAGUGUCUGCAAUGACAUCAGCAAACUACAGACCUCCUAGGCUGAAGCUACAGUACAGUACACACUCUCUCCUCUCACUAUGAAUACAGUAUAGACUAGUUUGAUAUAGUACAAAUGAUCCAUCUAUUAGUAUAGUGUCGCUCAGCAGUUCUGGUGGCACAAGGGGUUUUGAUCCGAAUUGACCUCUUUAGAUUUCAUGGUUCUCCUUAUAAUCUUAAAGGGAUUCUAUGGGGUUUUGGCAAUGAGGCCCUCUAUCCACUUCCCCGGAGUCAGAUGAACUUGUAGAUAUACUUUUUAUGUCUCUGCAUGCAGUUUGAAGAAAGUUGCUAACUAGCGUUAGCGCAAUUGCUAAAUGAUAUUAGUGCAAUGACUGGAAGUGUCUAUUCAUUGCGCUAACGCUGGUUAGCAUUGGCUCGCAAACCUACCUUGAACUACCUUCAUACUGGACACAGAGACAUACAAAUAGUAUCCAUGAGCUCAUCUGACUUUAGGGAAGUAGAUAAAGGGCCUCAUUGCCAAAAUCCCAAAGUAUCCCUUUAAACUGAACCGAGUGAUAGUGUUUUUCAGAGAAAUGAAAAGACGUCAAUGGGACAGUGGCCAGAAUUGAGGAAUUCACUAGGGAGUUCUGGAGAAGAGUCAUUUAACUCAUGGACCCACAACCCAUACUGUUCAUGUCUCAUGUGGUGAACUGAGGAGUUUCAGGAAGCUUGUGACCUAAUUCUAAUGCAUAUACAAAUACCAGAACACUAAAAUAAUGAUGAAUGAUGGCUAUUGUAAAUAGGAACAUGAUUCAGUGGUGUACAAAGUAGGUCAAGAGGAGACAUGCUGUGGUGCUUGAAUAAUCAUGCAUGCAGAAACUGGUGAGUAUGACAGUUACUAAUUGGGAGUGAAUUGUAAAUAUGAAAUGAAUUUUGCUUGCACAACUUCUGACCACUAUUCAAGCUUGUCUAGCUGCAUCAUGUAAUACUGUAGCAUUAAAGUAUGUGAAGAGUUUUCCCUACCUUGAACUAUGGUAACAACAGUUCUCUGUCUCCUAAUAGCCUCCAAUAACCUGCUCUUCAUCCUGCCGUGUGCUGGGAUCAUAUUAGCAAUCCUCGCCUUCAUCACUGUUAUAGCCAGUCGCCCUAAGAAGGGAAACAACAACAAUUCACAGAUGUCUGGGUACAGUAACGCCACUUACUCCAGCAUUAAGAUGGAACUGCAGCCCCAUCAGGACAUCCCUGAUAUCAGUACUGAUCUGUAUGUGUCCAGGGCAGAAGAAAGGAGAGGUCCAAACCCUUCUGUUGCAGCAUGGUACCAGAGCUGACGCCUACUCAUACUGCAACCAGUCUUCAUUUACACGCUUUUGAUCUGGGCUUUGUGCUGCUCUGAUUCAAGUCCAAUGCUAAUAGUUUGCUAAAAAUGUAUGGUUUGAGAUGAAUAUACAUGUAAAGUAACCUUGAACUAUAAAUUAUUUCACUGAUGUACAAGUAUACGGAACAAAAAUAUAAAUGCAGCAUGCAUCAAUUUCAAUAAUAUUACUGAGUUACAGUUCCUAUAAGGAAAUCAGUCAAUUGAGAUAAAUUCAUUAUGCCCUAAUCUAUAGAUUUCACAUGACUGGUGAAGGGCGCAGCCAUUUUCCCCACAAAAGGUCUUUAUUACACACUGAAAUGCUACUCGGUUGAAUCAGCUGUCCGGGUGACUGGUCUCAGACAAUGCCGCAGGUGAAGAAGCCGGAUGUGGAGGUCCUGGGCUGGAGUGGUUACACGAGAUCUGCGGUUGUGAGGCCGGUUUGAUGUACUGCCAAAUUCUCUAAAACAACAUUGGAUGUGGCUUAUGGUAGAGAAAUAAAUAUAACAUUCUCUGUCAACCGCUCAGGGAGACAUUCCUGCAGUCAGCAUGCCAAUUUCACACUCCCUCAAAACUUGAGACAUCUGUGGCAUUGUGUUGUGUGACAAAACUGCACAUUUUAGAGUGGCCUUUAAUUGUCCCGAGCAAUCAUGCUGUUUAAUCAGCUUCUUGAUAUGCCACAGCUGUCAGGUGGAUGGAUUACCUUGGCAAAAGAGAAAUGCUAACUAACAGGGAUGUAAACACAUUUGUGUAUAGAAUUUGAGAGAAAUAAGCUUUUUGUAUGUAUGGAACAUUUCUGGGAUCUUUUAUUUCAGCUCAUGAAACACGGGACCAACACUUUACAUGAUGCGUUUAUAUUUUUGUUCAGUAUAAGUCAAGACUGAGACUAGACCAUUAAGGGACACUCAACACCUCUUGGAAAUCCAUUCUGGUGUGUCUUUUGCAUCAACGUGUGUAAUUGUCCAGUAGAAAAAUAAAACCCUAUCCCAGGGUAAGGUUUUCAGAAGACUGAUGUGGGUUUUCCACUAACGUUUUACCUGA